rnacentral:rRNA from 1 species
GAUGAACGCUGGCGGCGUGCCUAAUACAUGCAAGUCGAGCGAACAGACGCGGAGCUUGCUCCUCUGACGUUAGCGGCGGACGUGUGAGUAACACGUGGAUAACCUCCCUAUAAGACUGGGAUAACUUCGGGAAAGCGGAGCUAAUAGCGGAUGAUAUCUUGAACCGCAUGGUUGAUUAGUAAAAUUCGGCUUUGCUGUCUCUUAUAGAUGGAUCCGCGCCGCAUUAGCUAGUUGUUAAGGUAACGGCUUACCAAGGCUACGAUGCGUAGCCGACCUGAGAGGGUGGUCGGCCACACGGGAACGGAGACAGGCACCAGACUCCUACGAGACGCCGCAGUCUGGAAUCGUACGCAAUAGGGGAAAACUUGGCGGAACAGGACCACGUGAGAGGCGAAGAUGUUCGGAGCGUAAAGCUCUGUUAUUGGGGAAAAACAGAUUUGUAAGUAAAUAUGCCCGUCUUGACGGUACCUGAUCAGAAAGCAACGGCUAACUACGUG